GUGUUCGCUUCAGCAGUCCAUAUACUGAAACUGGAACCAUACAGAGAAGAUUAGUAUGGCCUUUGGACAAGGAUGACAUGCAAACUUGUGAAGUGUUCCAUAAAAAA
ensembl:snRNA U6 U6 spliceosomal RNA